CUCUUAUUGCUCGUGCACGUUUAUUGCAACUUUUAUUCAACGUGCUACAUUUUAUUUAAUUAAUAAUUGACAAAGUAUAGUCUGCACGCACCGUACGUCGCGAUUUACAGUGAUUGUAUACCUGUGGUAUGUUUGUAAAACAGAAGUGCUUUCUGUGCCGGAAAGAAGUGCUGUGGUGCGUCAGCCGCCGGAUAAAUUUCGACAUUUUUGACUAUUCACAGUUAUUUUGCACUCUAUUUUGGAACUAGGAUUUUACACUUGACUCAGAUACCGUAGAAGGACCAUACUUGCAUCAGAUUGAAUUUUGCACCUGAGUCUGAUAUCGUAGAAGGACCAUUCUUGCAUCAGAUUGAAUUUUGCACCUGAGUCUGAUAUCGUAGAAGGACCAUUCUUGGAUCAGAUUGGAUUUUGCACCUGAGUCUGACAUCGUAGACGGACCAUUCUUGCAUCAGAUUGGAUUUUGCACCUGAGUCUGACAUCGUAGAAGGACCAUUCUUGCAUCAGAUUGGAUUUUGCACCUGAGUCUGACAUCGUAGAAGGACCAUUCUUGCAUCAGAUUGGAUUUUGCACCUGAGUCUGACAUCGUAGAAGGACCAUUCUUGCAUCAGAUUGGAUUUUGCACCUGAGUCUGACAUCGUAGAAGGACCAUUCUUGCAUCAGAUUGGAUUUUGCACCUGAGUCUGACAUGGUAGAAGGACCAUUCUUGCAUCAGAUUGGAUUUUGCACCUGAGUCUGACAUCGUAGGAGGACCAUUCUUGGAUCAGAUUGGAUUUUGCACCUGAGUAUGACAUCGUAGGAGGACCAUUCUUGGAUCAGAUUGGAUUUUGCACCUGAAUCUGACAUCGUAGAGGGACCAUUCUUGCAUCAGAUUGGAUUUUGCACCUGAGUCUGAUAUCGUAGAAGGACCAUUCUUGCAUCAGAUUGGAUUUUGCACCUGAGUCUGACAUCGUAGGAGGACCAUUCUUAGAUCAGAUUACUAAUUUUUGAUGGUUUUUGGGAUUUUGCACCUGAGUCUGACAUCGUAGAAGGACCAUUCUUGCAUCAGAUUGGAUUUUGCACCUGAGUCUGACAUCGUAGGAGGACCAUUCUUGGAUCAGAUUGGAUUUUGCACUUGAGUCUGACACCGUAGAAGGACCAUUCUUACAUCAGAUUGUGUUUUGCAUCGGAAAUCGACAUCUAAACAGAACCAUUCUUGCAUCAGAUUGUAAAUAAUUAAAUUCUUUAUCAUUUUCAUACAUAACUUUUAUGAAUAACUUAGCGAGAAAAAUUUACUUUUUGUGUUUUGAAACACUGAUUUUGCUGGUUUUUGGGGUUUAACACAUGAACGCGUCAUCCGCGUAAUAAAAGCGAGGUCCCUAAAGAAGUAAAAUUUAAUUCUUCAUGGCGUUAUAUUCUAAUGUCGUAGGAGUAGAACGUACCAGUAGAACGUGUAUUGUGAGAUAAAUUGUACGUUUCGUACGUUGUUAUAUCGAUAA